rnacentral:snRNA from 1 species
AUCCCUGUGCUCGGGUUCGCGUUGGUACCAGUGAAGUUCAUACUGAGGUCCAACCUAUUGCUGAUUGCAAACUACAUUCCUAAACCUCCUCGCACUUCGGUGCUUGGGAAUUUUUGGAGCCCCACUGGGC